AACAUCGCGCACCUGCGGGAACCUGCGGAGGGAUCAUUACCGAGUUUACAACUCCCAAACCCCUGUGAACAUACCACUUGUUGCCUCGGCGGAUCAGCCCGCUCCCGGUAAAACGGGACGGCCCGCCAGAGGACCCCUAAACUCUGUUUCUAUAUGUAACUUCUGAGUAAAACCAUAAAUAAAUCAAAACUUUUAGCAACGGAUCU
rnacentral:misc_RNA from 1 species